rnacentral:lncRNA from 1 species
AGGACGCCCCGCGACUCUAGGCGGUGGGUUUCUGGAAUCCACGCUGGACAUGGUCCGCAGCUAGACUCCCUCCCGGGCUGAGUCCACCUUGUCGUGCUGCGGGUCUACACGGCCGCCAGUGUACUCCCCGCCCUGUCUCCACACCACGCUCGAUUGGCAAGCCGCGGGGCGACGACCUCGUCCGCGCGUCUCCUGGUGACGUGGAAAUGCAUCUUGUUCCAGUGCAUCACAUUCCAGGGAACAAAUAAUUCUUUUACAAAGCCAGGUGUCAUCAUUUUCUUAGAAGAAGAACCACUGCAACAGGGCUCAAAGUUGACUCUGCUGGAAAGAGAAACUUGACUGAGCACUUGCCAUGCUUCAGGCAUCGUUCAAGGCAACAGGGUUAUGGUCUUGAAUAAGAGAGACAGUUCUCAUCUCUAGACAGACUGGCAGUAAGCCCGAAAAUAGAUCAAUACACAAUAUAAUUUCAGAUAGUGACUGUUUGCUACAAAGCCAAAAGUAAAU